rnacentral:lncRNA from 1 species
GUUAAUAAAUACAGAGUGAGCUAUUGUUUUCAGAAGUUAGAUCUUAAUCCUGAAACUGUGUCAGUAUUUGAGUAUUCACAGGACAGUGCCUCAGGUGGAAACACUGUAUAAACAGCUCAGUCUAUUGCCAUAGCAGUCGUUUCAGACUGUUCCAGACUGUUCCAGAGUGACAGGCUUCUUCGUGUCUUUUUAGUCUCAUGCAUGUAAAGCUAUGUAAUGACUGUGUAAACCAUUAACCACAGUGAGUCAUUAACAGAAGAGACCUUUUUCUUGCCAUUUAUAAGUUAUUAUCCCUAAAGUGAUUUAUCAAAGAGAUUGGUCUUAAAUAGGAUUUAUAGCCAAUCAUUAAUCUUCAAAGUGCUUUAAAAUCUUAGAUGUCUUAAUAAUUUGUUCUGUCAAAGAGCAGAGACAAGGAGUUCUGUUGGAGAAUCACUCGCUUGAUACUCUUUAGGAAAGAUACAGGACAGCAGCCUAAACAUGAACUUGUCCCCACAGACAGUUCAGCCUCUGCCCCAUCUUUGCCCCUGGGGCCAUCCCCGAGUCUACUCCUGAGUCGGUUCCAACCCAGCUGAUUGAGUAUAUAAGCUAGGACACAGUGCCCCAGUGAGAUAGCUACAGGAGAAUGGCUUAGAUUCAUUCACUGAUUUCCUACCUAUAUUUCAACUUUUUAGGAAAAAAACAAAUUGCAACAAAGACAGUAUAAGGGAUUUGUUUGAAAAGGCAAUUUCCCCAGUGGCGCCUGGGUGGCUCAGGUCAUGAUCUUGGGAUGAGGAGAUGGAGCCUCGUGUCGGGCUCCAUGCUCAUUGUGAAGUUCACUUGAGAUUGUCUCUCUCUCUCUCCCUCUGCCCCUCCUCCCAAUCAUGGGUUCUCUCUCUCUCUCAACAAAUAAUCUUUAAAAAAGUAGGGGGCAACUUCCCAUAAAUACCAACAAUGAAAAUCAGUGUUUAGGAUGAUGAUCCUGACAUUAUAAAUAACGAUAUUCCUAAAUAUGGUGUAAUUAUAUAUUUAAUAAAUAUUUUCAACAGAAGCAUUUCUCACAGGUUUUUAAAAUUAUUAUUCCUUAUGCAGAUUCCUGCAUAAUCCUUAUAACACAGUUACUGCUACCUCCAACCUGGGUUUUACUGAAAAUGGCCUAAAGGAGUUUAUUUUCCUUCCAUAUUGAAUGAACUUAUUUUAUGAAAGGGAGAUUAUCCAUGGCCAAUUUUCUUCUACAAUGAUUCAAGACAGGAUAACAUAGCCAAAAAGACUCAUUUACUUCCUGAGAGUCCCCUUGUGGUAAGUUUUGCCUCAUUCCAUCCUUAACUUUCAAAUGUAUUAAAACAAAAGUUGUGUUAACCUUUCAAGUAAGACUGUAUUUGUCCAGAGGUUGAUAACUAUAAUACAGGAUCUUAUCAUGUACAAAGACUAUAAAGAAGUUUUCUCAUAAGAGAAAAUGUAUAUUUUACUUGUUUUAAACCAGUGGUUCUCAACUGGAAGCAAUUUUGCCCACCAGGGGACAUUUGGCAGUAUCUUGGAGAUGUCACCGCUGAAUGGGGGAUUGGGGUAUACUCCCGGCAUCUAGUGGUUAGAAGCCAGAGAUGCUGCUAAAUAUCCUAUAAGGCACAGGAUCCGCCACCCCCCUCAACAAAAAAUUAUUCAGUUCAAAUCAUCAGUAGUGCCAAGGUGGAGAAAAUCUAAACAAAAUGAGAUAGGUAACUACUUAAAAAGUCUAUUAAUUAGAUAUAAAUUAUGCCCAUAGUUGUCUCUGAAAAUUAUGCCCAAAUCAACUCUAAUAAACAUGUACUGUGUGCAUAAAAGCUUAUGAAUCCAUCAUGUUGUUACCAAAAUACAGUGCUUAAUAAUUUGAGGAAAUUAUAUGUACAAAUGGGAAAAACCAUGCACACCCAGAUGGGUAGGGAUAUAUAUAUAUAUUUUUUUAAGAGUUUAUUUAUUUGAGAGAGCAGCGAGAGAGAGCACAAGUGGGGGAAAGGGAGAAGCAAGCUCCCUGCUGAGCAGGAAGCCUGAUGUGAGGCUCCAUCCCAGGACCCUGGGAUCAUGACCUGAGCCAGAGGGAGAUGCUCAACCAACUGAGUCACCCAGGUGCCCUGGGAUAUGUUUAUUUUAAAAACAUGUUCUACCAUUAAAUUUAGUUUUUAUAAAUAUCACUUAUUUUGAAAAUGUUAAAAGUUAAAACAUGGUUUUUGAAAAUACAAUUUGUAUAUGACAUACUGCUAAUGUUUUUCACUGCAAAACUCAAAUUCUCCCGUGUAGGCCCACAUUAAGAUGUCUGAAAUAUGCACACCCUUACUUUAUCUUUCUGUUAUUUGAACAGAGUCCAACUUAGUAGACUUUGGCCGAUAUGGUAUAACACAAAUAGGGUUUUAAGAAGGGGGAUGGGAGUAUAUAGCUCUCUAGGUAGAUAACUGUAAAAUGUUGAAAUCUAACAUGAAGUCUCAUUGGGAACUGUAAUUUCUAGGCUCAGUAACCCUUCUACAGUUUGAGCUGGAAAAAAAAAAUCAGUUUGUUUUAGGACUUAUUAGCAAGAUUACCAGACUGAAAAUCAAAGAUAUGUUAUGCUCUUUAGAAGACAGAUGUCCUUACAAAUCAGGGGCCAUGCUAUAUCAUGGGCACCAAGGAACUAUCCCAUAUGAGGAGGAAACUAAUCCAUUGACUAUAGACGCAAAACAAAACAAUCUGUAAUCAUAGACGUUGCUGUUAAUGCUACCCUUCUGUCUCUGAAAUUCACCUGUGCACUUUCCCAUUUAAACUCCAGCUGUCCCCAUUAUUUCUGGCCCAUAAAUCUUUAUACCACCCUUUUCCAUAGUAAGCAUGGCUAAGACAGAUUAAUUGAAGCAUGCAAUCUGAUUAGUUAAGAGGGAGGCUGAUGGUCCAGUUUAUAACUAAUGUGUACUACAUGGCUAGUUUGAGACUC